UACUGUCGUCUUUUAACGAUAGUCGUAUUUUUAUCGUUUUGCUGAACAUGGUUACGGGCUACGAUAAGAAUACCACGUCGAUAUCGUAUAAAGUUAUCCACUAUCAUUCGUAAGUGACCACGAUUGUCUAUGCCUAGAGUUUAUGAAAAAUCCAUUUAAUGCCUGGCUUUAUUAAAAUGUCGGACGUGUGUCGGACGAUGUUUGAAAACGAAUAGUUAGUUUUAUUACUACACUUCCAAAUUGAAAAAUGUUUAAAUGAGUGACAGCUUUAUACAAAUUGACUUACAUUAUAACAUGCACGGAUAAUCGUGUUUUCUCAACUGACAAUUCACUUGACAUUGACAAGCAUCGCGUACGCGCAUGAUUCAGUGAAUUUAGUGAAAAUACAAACCAAGUCGAAGAAAAAUACUGAUUUGCUGUGUAAACUAAAGGAAAUGCCACCCAAAAUUCGAUGCUUCGGCGCACAAGAAAAUGCUAGCCAAAUAUAUAACUCAGCAUCCCCUGUUCGCCUACACCUACAGGGAGAUUCAUGAGCCUCUCGGAACCCAGAGAUACAAAAUGCAAUGGUGCAGCAUGUGCACACAAGUUCUAAGAUCUAGAAGAAAGGAUUGAAGAUUCAUAACAUAUUGGAGGCUUGAAAGUGCACAUACCCAUAGAUUGGACA